GAUGAAGAACGUAGCGAAAUGCGACAAGUAAUGUGAAUUGCAGAAUUCAGUGAAUCAUCGAAUCUUUGAACGCACAUUGCGCCCAUUAGUAUUCUAGUGGGCAUGCCUGUUCGAGCGUCAUUUCAACCCUUAAGCCUAGCUUAGUAUUGGGAAUCGACUUUACUGUCGUUCCUCAAAUUCAACGGCGGAUUUAUAGCAAUCUCUGAACGUAGUAAUUUUUUUCCUCGUUUUUGAAAUACUAUAAACCUCAGCCGCUAAACCCCCAAUUUUUCUAUGGUUGACCUCGGAUCAGGUAGGAAUACCCGCUGAACUUAAGCAUAUCAAUAAGCGGAGGA
rnacentral:misc_RNA from 1 species